rnacentral:rRNA from 1 species
UACAGAGGGUGCGAGCGUUAAUCGGAAUUACUGGGCGUAAAGCGCGCGUAGGCGGCUUUGCAAGUCGGGUGUGAAAUCCCCAAGCUUAACUUGGGAACUGCAUUCGAGACUGCAUUGCUAGAGUAUGGGAGAGGGAAGUGGAAUUUCCGGUGUAGCGGUGAAAUGCGUAGAUAUCGGAAGGAACAUCAGUGGCGAAAGCGACUUCCUGGACCAAUACUGACGCUCAGGUGCGAAAGCGUGGGGAGCAAACAGG